rnacentral:rRNA from 1 species
AUUGAACGCUGGCGGCAGGCCUAACACAUGCAAGUCGAACGGUAACAGGAAACAGCUUGCUGUUUCGCUGACGAGUGGCGGACGGGUGAGUAAUGUCUGGGAAACUGCCUGAUGGAGGGGGAUAACUACUGGAAACGGUAGCUAAUACCGCAUAACGUCGCAAGACCAAAGAGGGGGACCUUCGGGCCUCUUGCCAUCGGAUGUGCCCAGAUGGGAUUAGCUUGUUGGUGGGGUAACGGCUCACCAAGGCGACGAUCCCUAGCUGGUCUGAGAGGAUGACCAGCCCAACUGGAACUGAGACACGGUCCAGACUCCUACGGGAGGCAGCAGUGGGGAAUAUUGCACAAUGGGCGCAAGCCUGAUGCAGCCAUGCCGCGUGUAUGAAGAAGGCCUUCGGGUUGUAAAGUACUUUCAGCGGGGAGGAAGGGAGUAAAGUUAAUACCUUUACUCAUUGACGUUACCCGCAGAAGAAGCACCGGCUAACUCCGUGCCAGCCGCCGCCGUAA